GAUCGCCAUGAUAGGGAAGAAGAAAGACAGGACCUAAAGACCAGCUGACAUCAGUACUUUGGGUCCCUAACCUGCAACUCAGCACUCAGUCCGUCAUGGGCUAUGCUAGCCUUUGUGACUUCUCCAGGGCAGGAAAGUGACAGGUUUCUGUGCAAGGGAGCCCGAGGUGCCUGGUUCAGGAUGGAGAGGGCACUUGAGAGGCCUCAAAAGCAAGCACAGUUAGAGGACAUCAGCGAUGUUAAAACCCCACUAGGGUCAACAGUAGCCCAGGCAAAAUAAAGGAGCCUGAAGUGGAAAAACAGAAAUGGAACAAGGCAUUUGUUCUGGAGCACAUGAGGUUGUCUUUCUGAGACAUGUCCAGAACUAUUCAAAAGAAGAUUUAAUGGGAAGUCAUUAUGCAAAAGAGUCAGUAAUAUAUUUUAGUUUCAAAAGGUAUGGAGCAUGACACCUGUCAAUUAUACCUUCUGCAAAGGUGAGUGGCAGUUGUCCUUACUGUUCCAAAAUGCAAAGAGAAGCAAACAAACAAACAAACAAACCAACCAGCUGCUCCUGUUCUGUACUCCAAACACCAAGCAGAAAUGCUUCUGGGAAUUAGCAAUUGUGGACCAAGUGAGCUUCAUUCUUUAUGAAAAUGAAAACACUUCUUCUUUAUGUGCACUAGGAAAAUGUUCUGCCACUGAACGGCAAAACCAGCACCAAACUUACAAAUUUUGUGCAUCAGAGGAAACAAGCAACCUACAGGAUGGGGGAGAAUAGUUGCAGGACACAUGUCUGGGAAGGAAUACAUAUUUAGACUGAAUAAAAUGAAUAAGAGGAGGGAUAGGGAGUUCGUGUUUAAUGUUGAGAGCUUGGGACAGUCGAUGAAACGCUCCGGAGUGUUCUAGAGAUGAAUGACGGUGAUGACUGCAUCAGUGUGAAUGUCCUUAAUGCCAUCAAAAAUUGGUUAUAAUGGCAAAUUUUAUGCUACAUAUGUUUUACUACAAUAAAAAUGCCAGGAAAAUC
rnacentral:lncRNA from 1 species